GCUCCUGUGGUGUAACGGAUAACACAAUGGUCUUCGGAACCGUUGACGGGGGUUCGAUUCCCUCCAGGAGCACAA
rnacentral:tRNA from 1 species